rnacentral:rRNA from 1 species
UAACCUGCCUCUUAGCGGGGGAUAACUAUUGGAAACGAUAGCUAAUACCGCAUAAAAGUCGACAUUGCAUGAUGUUGACUUGAAAGGUGCAAUUGCAUCACUAAGAGAUGGACCUGCGUUGUAUUAGCUAGUUGGUGAGGUAACGGCUCGCCAAGGCGACGAUACAUAGCCGACCUGAGAGGGUGAUCGGCCACACUGGGACUGAGACACGGCCCAG